AGCGCUGUGGCGCCGCAGGUGGACGCCCCCGGCCCAGCGCGGUCCUUCGCCGGACCUCGGAGCGCGGAGCGCGGCCGCAGUUCCGGGGCGGGACGACGGAAAGAACUGACGGGACGCGCCCGGGGAGCGUCCCCUGGGGUGGCCCAGGGUGCCAGUGAGGAAGGAGUGGACACAGGUGCAACUUUGUUUUACUGGACUGAAAAUGUUUUUAAUGGAAUGGGUCUGGGUAAAGGAAGACAAUACAUGUUGAGCUGCAGGAAACAAAAGCUAGUCCAGUUAUUAUUUUAGUCCUGCUUUGGAAAUAAACCAAACGUCCAUCUGCGGUAGAAAAGACCAAUCGUGAGCUGCUGUUGUUGUUUGUUUGUUUGUUGUUUUCUUAUAAAAUGGAAUUUCACCCCACAGGGAGUGGAAGGAACUACAAGAACAAUCACACGAAUGAAACCUCCCACGCUAAGAAUGAGGGAGGGGAGCCAGGCACAAAAGAAUACAUUUAUAGUGCAUUCCAUUGUUUGAAAGUUCAAAAACAGGUGAAACUAAUCUAUGGUGUUAGAAAUCAGAAUAAUACUACCCUUGGGAGGAGUUUCUAGCAUUCUGGUAAUGUUUCGGUUUUCAAAUUGGGUGCUGAGUCCAUGGUUGUGCUGGCUUUGUGUAGACAUACUGAGUUGUUCACUCUCGGAUGCUUUGUUGUGUAGCUGUUAAAGUUAAUCAAAUAUUUUUCUUUCAAAAGAUCCUUCAUCACUAGGAUGUCAUACUUUUUUGCUGCUGCUAAAAUGUAUGUCACACCCAAAUAUUUAUUGAUAACAUACUUAGAUACUCACUAUUUGGAGUAAAAACAUUCUGUGUUACCAAACUUCCAGCCAUUGUGCAAAAAGACACAUUACUGAGGCAGAGUUAUAUCUUAAAUUAUUCAUCUGUGCAUUUUUCAUGAAUUUCUAUCCUUUCUUGUUCUCUAGAACCCUGAGUUAAUGAAAUAUGUUAACUUAAAGUGUU